rnacentral:rRNA from 1 species
UCCGUGCCAGCAGCCGCGGUAAUACGGAGAGGGCUAGCGUUAUUCGGAAUCAUUGGGCGUAAAGGGCGCGUAGGCUGAUUAGUAAGUUAAAAGUGAAAUCCCAAGGCUCAACCUUGGAAUUGCUUUUAAAACUGCUAAUCUAGAGAUUGAAAGAGGAUAGAGGAAUUCCUAGUGUAGAGGUGAAAUUCGUAAAUAUUAGGAGGAACACCAGUGGCGAAGGCGUCUAUCUGGUUCAAAUCUGACGCUGAGGCGCGAAGGCGUGGGGAGCAAACAGGAUUAGAUACCCUGG